ACAUACUCCCUUCGUCCUAAUAAAAAUGAAUCUAGUACUGGAUGUGACACAUUCUAGUACAACAAAUCUGGAUAGAGGUAUGUCUAGAUUUAUAGUACUAGGAUAUGUCAUAUCAUCUAAAAGUUACUAUAUUUUAAAAUGGAGGAAGUA
rnacentral:misc_RNA from 1 species